GACGAACGCUGGCGGCGUGCCUAAUACAUGCAAGUCGAACGGAGAUACGCGCUGAAGAUUUAGCUUGCUAUUGAUUCUUGUGUAUCUUAGUGGCGGACGGGUGAGUAACGCGUGAGCAACCUGCCUUUCAGAGGGGGAUAACGUUUGGAAACGAACGCUAAUACCGCAUGAGACCACGGUACUGCAUAGUACAGUGGCCAAAGGAGCAAUCCGCUGAAAGAUGGGCUCGCGUCCGAUUAGAUAGUUGGCGGGGUAACGGCCCACCAAGUCGACGAUCGGUAGCCGGACUGAGAGGUUGAACGGCCACAUUGGGACUGAGACACGGCCCAGACUCCUACGGGAGGCAGCAGUGAGGGAUAUUGGUCAAUGGGGGAAACCCUGAACCAGCAACGCCGCGUGGGGGAAGACGGUUUUCGGAUUGUAAACCUCUGUCCUCUGUGAAGAUAAUGACGGUAGCAGAGGAGGAAGCUCCGGCUAACUACGUGCCAGCAGCCACGGUAAUACGUAGGGAGCGAGCGUUGUCCGGAUUUACUGGGUGUAAAGGGUGCGUAGGCGGCCCUGCAAGUCAGAAGUGAAAUCCAUGGGCUUAACCCGUGAACUGCUUUUGAAACUGCAGGACUUGAGUGGAGUAGAGGUAGGCGGAAUUCCCGGUGUAGCGGUGAAAUGCGUAGAGAUCGGGAGGAACACCAGUGGCGAAGGCGGCCUACUGGGCUUUAACUGACGCUGAAGCACGAAAGCGUGGGUAGCAAACAGGAUUAGAUACCCUGGUAGUCCACGCCGUAAACGAUGAUUACUAGGUGUCGGUGGGUAUGGACCCACCGGUGCCGCAGCAAACGCAGUAAGUAAUCCACCUGGGGAGUACGUUCGCAAGAAUGAAACUCAAAGGAAUUGACGGGGACCCGCACAAGCGGUGGAGCAUGUGGUUUAAUCCGAAGCAACGCGAAGAACCUUACCAAGUCUUGACAUCUGGAUGACAGGGACGUAACGGUCCCCUUACUUCGGUACAUCCAAGACAGGUGGUGCAUGGUUGUCGUCAGCUCGUGUCGUGAGAUGUUGGGUUAAGUCCCGCAACGAGCGCAACCCUUAUCUUCAGUAGCCAGCAGGUAAAGCCGGGCACUCUGGAGAGACUGCCGGGGAUAACCCGGAGGAAGGUGGGGAUGACGUCAAAUCAUCAUGCCCCUUAUGAUUUGGGCUACACACGUGCUACAAUGGCGUAAACAGAGGGAAGCGAGCCCGCGAGGGGGAGCAAAUCCCAAAAAUAACGUCCCAGUUCGGAUUGUAGUCUGCAACCCGACUACAUGAAGCUGGAAUCGCUAGUAAUCGCGGAUCAGAAUGCCGCGGUGAAUACGUUCCCGGGUCUUGUACACACCGCCCGUCACACCAUGGGAGUCGGAAAUGCCCGAAGUCUGUGACCUAACCGCAAGGGAGGAGCAGCCGAAGGCAGGUCGGAUGACUGGGGUG
rnacentral:rRNA from 1 species